UAUUCAUCAAAUUUAUUCAUGAAACAGACAAAAUUGUGUCACACAGAAAAAUACAGGUUCAAAGCACCACAACGUUAGCCUGAUAUCAGACAGAAUUAUCACAUGAUAUUAAACAGAAGCUGUGACUGGGCAAUGAUAAUGAAGCAGUUCAUUUCAAAGUUGUAGAUUCGAGCUGCUCUUCAUACUUUUGGCCAAUACAAGCUUCAACACUUCAGAAAGCUUCAUUUGGCCAUCACUAACAGCAGUACUUGUAGUCUGGAGUAUAAGUAGACUAGACUAGAGUGCAAUCAAAUACACCUGCCUUCAAUGAACCCAGCCCAAUCACAGCCACUGGCUCACAGCAGUUGUGAAACAAACCCACUCACACAUCAGUGGCCAUUUCCCACAGUAAAUGUGGAGGUGAGUUAAUAUGCAGGUGAUACCAGGCUACCAUCUUACACAGCUGAUUACAAAUUUAUAAACAACCUCUUGCAGCCUCACUUUGACAUCACUGGUAUAAAGAAACUGAAAUCCUGCCGCCCAAUCCUACAAACAGGUAAUCUGUGAGAUUACACUCUUUUUCAGACAUUAGUGGUUAAAAUGAUAAAUUGCAAACAAAGAUGAAUAUUCAGAAAGAUAAGGUGGAAGGUUUUAGGAGAGCUCAUUUAUUUGAACACUUUCUAAAUGUUUUUUUUUUAAGUUUUCUAAACAAUGAAUCAAUGAAUGCGGAUCAAUGAGGGGAAAAAUUAUUUUUUCAGUCCUGUGCAUUCUUGCCUACACCAACUCUAGGCCUUAAAAUCCACUCAGCAGUUUACCCUGGUAUAAUUGGCUUUUCUACAGUGAGUCAUGGCACCACAGAUGAGCUGAGCCAUGUGGACCAUAUAGACUUGUGGAGUUCUGGCGGCAGCCUUGAAGGAAGUCUCCCCAUGGCAGAGCUCACUGCAUGGGUGGGGAGUGCUCUCAAUAAGGAGACGAGGAACAACAUCUUUGAGGCUGCUGAAGCUGUUUCCAGCUCUGUCACAGAGGAACAGUUUUGCUGUCCCACAGAACCAGAAUGUCAAAAGCACUAUGUGUGAGAAUGAAGAAAAGCGCCAGGUGGUCAAAGGAAGGACCCGGGGGCUGUUCUCAGAUAGCCAGAUAAAAACCUCUUGUCCAUCACUUUAACCAAAAACGUUACCAUGACCCACGGGAGAUGACAGAGGUGACAGGACUGACCUACAAACAGGUGAAGACUUGGUUUCAAAACCGAAGAAGAAAGUUUAGGAAGAUUCCAGAUUCUCAGCAUCUCAAUCAGGGCGUCCCGCUUCAUGUAAGUAUCUCCAAUUAUUAAACAGAACUGUUUUUAAUUCAGUCACUAUCUUGGGAAUUAAUUGCAUUUGGUGAAAUGUAUUGACUAUAAUUACACAAGAACUGACUCUGCAUCUUUCAGUGAUUCAGUUUCAGGGAGUACACCCAACACCUGGAGGUAAACUCAAUCACGAAGGGUGCAAAUUAUCAGGGCCCCUAUCAUCAUCCUGUGGGCAAGGUUGUGCCUGGACCUCAAUGGACCCUCCACAAAAAAAACAAAACAAACAAA